UACGAAGGGGGCUAGCGUUGCUCGGAAUUACUGGGCGUAAAGCGCAUGCAGGCGGAUUGUUAAGUCGGGGGUGAAAUCCUGGAGCUCAACUCCAGAACUGCCUUCGAUACUGGCAAUCUUGAGUCCGGAAGAGGUGAGUGGAAUUCCUAGUGUAGAGGUGGAAUUCGUAGAUAUUAGGAAGAACACCAGUGGCGAAGGCGGCUCACUGGUCCGGUACUGACGCUGAGAUGCGAAAGCGUGGGGAGCAAACAGG
rnacentral:rRNA from 1 species